GUGAGAGGUUAGCAUGUUUUGUUGUAGUCUCUGUUAUUGGUAAUGGUGAGAGGUUAGCAUGUUUUGUUGUAGUCUCUGUUAUUGGUAAUGGUGAGAGGUUAGCAUGUUUUGUUGUAGCCUCUGUUAUUGGUAAUGGUGAGAGGUUAGCAUGUUUUGUUGUAGUCUCUGUUAUUGGUAAUGGUGAGAGGUUAGUAUGUUUUGUUGUAGUCUCUGUUAUUGGUAAUGGUGAGAGGUUAGUAUGUUUUGUUGUAGUCUCUGUUAUUGGUAAUGGUGAGAGGUUAGUAUGUUUUGUUGUAGUCUCUGUUAUUGGUAAUGGUGAGAGGUUAGCAUGUUUUGUUGUAGCCUCUGUUAUUGGUAAUGGUGAGAGGUUAGCAUGUUUUGUUGUAGUCUCUGUUAUUGGUAAUGGUGAGAGGUUAGUAUGUUUUGUUGUAGUCUCUGUUAUUGGUAAUGGUGAGAGGUUAGCAUGUUUUGUUGUAGUCUCUGUUAUUGGUAAUGGUGAGAGGUUAGCAUGUUUUGUUGUAGACUCUGUUAUUUAUUAUCUAGAUCUUUUUUAAUCAUGGCAUCCUCAAAUCAAAUCAAAUCAAAUUUUAUUUG
ensembl:lncRNA